GAGUAACUUGGAAAGUAUAUGGCAUAACCAAUUUGCUCUAGGUUCCUUCUGUAAAUUAAAAUCAUUGAGUAUUCAUGAGUGUGAAAACUUAUACACUCUUUUUCCAUCACAUGACUUAAGAAGAUUCCAGAGAUUAGAACAGUUAAAUAUAUUGAGUUGUGAUUCACUAGAAGAAAUAUAUCAACUCCCAGAGUUCAAUGCUGAAGAAGCAAGUUCUGCAACAUCAUUUGAUUUAAGAUCUAUAGAUAUAUAUAAUCUAAUAAAAUUGAAGCAUAUAUGGAGUAAAGAUCCACAAGAAAUUUUCACCUUCAGAAAUCUGGAUUCGAUAACAGUUUUCAGAUGCAAGGUUUUGAAAAAUCACUUUCCUGCUUCUGUAGCACAAAGCCUUUUGCUACUUGAAAGGCUUGAAGUACACUCUUGUAGCGUGGUUGAGGAGAUUGUUGCAAAGGCAGGUGUAAAAGCAGCCCCUUCUUCUUGUUUCCAAAAUUGCUCUCCUUGAAUCUUGAAAGUCUAAAUGAAAUCAGAAGAUUUUAUCCGGGAAGACACAGUUCAGAAUUCCCGAAGUUAAGAGAUUUGGAGCUGCGUAAUUGUGGAAAUGGAAUGGAUUUUGGUUCAGAAUUGUUCAGUUUACAGGAAAAACAUGGCGAGGGACAACAUCACAUCACUAUUCAACGACCAUUACACUUGGAAAACAAGGUACAAUCCUCUCUUUUUUAAAUGAUGUUCGCUGAAGAUGUAGGUAGUUCCUUUAAAUAAUGAAAAAAACAUUAUAAUUACGCUAAAUAUAUGGGGAAUGUAUAGGCCAUAAUAAUGCAGUAGUAUUUUUCAAAGAUUUUUUUUUUGAAAAAAAUU
rnacentral:misc_RNA from 1 species